rnacentral:misc_RNA from 1 species
GUUCACACUUCUGAUUGAUUCAGCCAUGAUCAUUUUUCUGUGGUAAAACCCCCGCAAGCUGGAGAAUGAAUGUUGAUCAUUGCCAGCUUGAGAAAAAUAGCAUGAAAGGAAGUAACACCUAAAGGCUUAGUAUGAAUAUCUGCUAGCUGAGCCUGGGAAGGAACUGGCAUAAGCUUGAUAAGACCCUUUGGAGAGAUGAUUGAUAUCAGCAGAUGAUAUGAGACCACAAUGAUAGUCUUGCAAGUAAGUUGGAGGUCUCCUUGAUCUAGUAAACAUUCUGGUAG